AUGCUUGCUUUGGCAGCACAGAGCAUUAAGUGGGAAUGAUACAGAGAGAUUAGCAGGGCCCCUGUGCAAGGAUGACACACAAAUUCAUGAAGCGUCCCAUUAAAAA
ensembl:snRNA U6 U6 spliceosomal RNA